AUUGAACGCUGGCGGCAUGCCUUACACAUGCAAGUCGAACGGUAACGGGCCUUCGGGUGCCGACGAGUGGCGCACGGGUGAGUAAUACAUCGGAACGUGCCCGAUCGUGGGGGAUAACGAGGCGAAAGCUUUGCUAAUACCACAUACGAUCUACGGAUGAAAGCAGGGGACCGCAAGGCCUUGCGCGGACGGAGCGGCCGAUGGCAGAUUAGGUAGUUGGUGGGAUAAAAGCUUACCAAGCCGACGAUCUGUAGCUGGUCUGAGAGGAUGAUCAGCCACACUGGGACUGAGACACGGCCCAGACUCCUACGGGAGGCAGCAGUGGGGAAUUUUGGACAAUGGGCGCAAGCCUGAUCCAGCCAUGCCGCGUGCAGGAUGAAGGCCUUCGGGUUGUAAACUGCUUUUGUACGGAACGAAAAGCCUUCUUUUAAUACAGGAGGGUCAUGACGGUACCGUAAGAAUAAGCACCGGCUAACUACGUG
rnacentral:rRNA from 1 species